rnacentral:rRNA from 1 species
AGAUUGAACGCUGGCGGCAUGCCUUACACAUGCAAGUCGAACGGUAGAGGGAGCAAUCCUUCGAGAGUGGCGAACGGGUGAGUAAUAUAUCGGAACGUGCCCAGUCGUGGGGGAUAACGUAGAGAAAUUUACGCUAAUACCGCAUACGAUCUAAGGAUGAAAGCGGGGGACCUCGCAAGGGGCCUCGCGCGAUUGGAGCGGCUGAUAUCAGAUUAGGUUGUUGGUG